UCAUUAAAGUCACCUUAUAUUAGAGGAAACAAAUUUGUUAUCUAAGAAAAACAAUGUCUUUACUAAAUAUAAACACAAAUAUACACAUAUAUAUACAUAAUUUUGUAGCCAUUGUUUUUCCUAUAUCUAGUAAAAUAAUUCUUUCCUGAUCAGUUGUAACAAAGCAAUUUCAACCUUUUUUUACUUCACAAUAUCUUUAAAAAUGUCUCAUUUUAUUCCAACAACAUAUGUCAUAUUUCUUGUUGUUUGUUUUAUGUGUUUUGAACCUUGCGCCCAUGCAAGAAAUUUUAAUUCUCCGGGCAUCGAAAAUGUCAAUCCAUUCACAUCAACAAUGAAAGUCGCAGAAGAAAACAUUAAGAAGAAUGUUCCUAAAAGAGAAAAUGGUUAUACAACGGCUAGUAUAAUCAAUGGAAAUUAUGCAAGUGGACCCGAUCCGAGUGGAAGAGGACAUGGUAGACCGCCAACUCCACCACACCAUUGAAAAACAAUCGUUUGAACUGUACAUGGUGGAUAUAAUGUGAAUUAGAUAAUAAUAAUUAAUAAUUAAUAAAAAGUUGUGAAAGUUGGAUUUUGUUCAUAUAUAAUGAAAUCAAAUAAUAAACCAACUGAAAAUAAAGAAAACAAAUAAUACAUUUAACAAUAGAAAUUAUUGUGUAUAUUUUAUAGUUAUACAGAAAAUGUAAACAUCAAAAUUUAAUUUGAACCAAACGAAAAUUAAGAUUAUCAAAAUUGAUCAGAUAGUUGUUUUUUCCCCUCUCAAACUCAAUCAAACUGAAAUUAAUAUCAACCCAUUUUUAAAUUAAAACAAGGUUUAAAAACCUUUUCACUAGUUAAUAUAAAAUACCUAAAUUUUUAUAAAAAUAAUUAUGUUAAACUAGACACGAUUGGAAAAGGCAAAUCGAUUGCGAAAACAACAUAAAUAAUAUCCGUGGACAAAAUUAGAACACCAUAUGCAAACUUGUUCAUCAUUGUAUUUUUUUCUUGAUAUAUGUUGACUCACAAAUCUUAGAAAAAUCAUCGCUAAAAUUCUUCAGAGUAAGCCGAUCACUAUAUUGAUAACACCAUAUUUACCAGUUCAGAAAAACCUAUUACAAAAACUAAAUCAAAAUCUUUAGGGGGGCCGUAUAUAUAAAAUUGUGAUCAAUUAUUUAAGGAUAUUUUUUGUUCUCUUAGUUUCUUUUGUAUGAAUCCUCUAAACAUUAUUUGCAAAGUGAUUUUGACACAUGUCUUCUCUACAAUCAUUUUAACCAAAUAAAUAUGACAUGACAUGCUACAAUUAUGACAUGACUUAUGAUUAAAUGUGACAUGAACAAUUACAUUGAAUGCUUAUUUAUAUUUUUGGUAAACUCUUUAGAAUAUAUGGUAGUAAAUUAUACACUAUCAUUAAAGUAAAUCUAUUAAAGUAUGAUAUUAAAUAAUAUAACAAUAAAAUUAUAAUUAUAUUUUAUAAAUUCUGAAAUAUUAUUUAUUUCUAAUUUUGAAUAAUUAUACAAUUUAUAACUAAAAAGAAUUCCAAAAUCUUUUACAAUUUUUUUUUAAAUUAUAAUUUUUUUAUCGUAAUAUUAUUAGUUUCUAUUAUAUACCAUUUUACUAUUGAUAAUUAUAAAACUUGUAUAUCAUUUUUAUUAAUUUUAUACAAUUUAAUUUAAUAUAUUUUAUCCAAAAGAAAUAGAUAAAAUUCUAUUUCAUAUUAUUAUUUUAAAUAUAUACAUAUCUAUUCUUAGAUAUAAUUUAAAAUAAACAAAAUUAUUUAUUUUAACUUAAUUUUGUGUUCGGUUGAAAUAUUAUUAAGACAUAAUAAAAUUUAAAAAAUAAUAAACUUUAUUUUAAAAAUAAUUUUAAUUUAAAAUUUUUAUUCCUGCACAUUGGUGCUUUUAAACAGUAUAAACUUUAAUAAUUUAAUUUUAUCUUAACUAAUAAAGAAAUACAAUUCAUAUAACAAAAUUAUAGUCUAUUUUACAUAUCUUUAAUAUUUGAAUGGUUUAGGAGAUAAACUUUAAAUAAUAUAACUAGUAGUGUUUCUCUUCUUCCUCUACAAAUUAGCCCCUAAAGGGUUAUUAGACCCUUUUGGAGAUUUUAAAUAGAGGUUUUGGUUUUCACAUGCGAUGAGAUUGCGAUGCCGAAGGCGACUUAGAUCUAGGGUUUCGAUGCGGUUUCGGGGAUGGGAUGUGGGGAGACUAAGGGAUGGAUUGGAGCGGGUUUUUCCUGCUCUUUACCAGGAUAAUGGUUUUGGAAAGCAAAGGAAUGGGAACGGCGAUCCACAGCGAGAAGAUCGAACAAGAUUUAUGGGUUUUAAUGGAAACAGUGGAUUACUAGGGCCUGGGUUUUAGGGCGUUUUACGGAUAGAAUCGAUCUAUGGUUAUCUCAGGUCUCCAAUUGGUGAUCUCCCAGAUUUUCAAGGUAUGAUUUGGUGUCUAUUCUUUAGGAGAUCGUUUUGGAUUGGCUGGGGGUUUCCACAAAGGAAUCACCGAUAUUUGAGAAUUGAUGAUUGGAAAGCCAGGAUUUGGUUUCUUAUUCUCAUCAGAAUCAACGAGAUGUUCGAAGAUUUCUCAGAUGAAUUUCAAGAUCUCUCGGAAGGUGAGAUCGAGGAAAAGGACAAGGAAUGCAUUAAGAUACUGUCUGGUGAAGAUUUCUUAAGUGAGAAUGCUGAGGAAGAUAACCAGAUUGGAGAUAAGGAAGAUAAAGGCCCAGUUACGCUGGAAAUGGACAAAGAGCAGGGGGCUAGGAUGAUGCUGUUUAAGAGCCAGAAUGUAGCAGGUGGAACCAUGAAGAAGAGAAUGGUACAAGGGCUAGUAUCUCCUCGCAAACGUCCUUCGGCUAAAGCGGGUAUCCGACAAGGUGAUGGUUUUAAAAAGGUAGAAGAGACGGUCCCUCAAACCCUUUACCGAGCUCAUCAAAACCCUGAUUUUAUGGAUCGAUCCUUUGAAGAAGAGAAGCUAUGGUGGCAGAUACUGAGAGAGCAGAUGUCCAGAGGCUGUUACCGUUGGUUUCGAUCGGUCUGUUUGGUCAUCAGAAGAAACAUGGAAAAGCUGAAAUACUGGUCUUCAGUGGAGGAAAAUAUUUUGCUCUUGGCCUCAUUAAGCCACAAGUGAAGUCAAACCUUGUUCCUAUAUUGGAAUAAUAAAAAUGUAAGGUGUCCGAAUGGUGAAUGGGAGUUUAAUUGUGGUGUCUCAUUGGUCACAAUUAAUUACCAAAGGAAAGACAGAGAGUGUCGAGGAUAUGGGGUGAAUAAUCAGACUCAGGGGUACGUGAGUCUCACGUCAAAAUUAAUGAUGGUUUAUAAAUGUUUUGGACACUUAUGGUUUCUUCGUAUCCAGCUGUAUUGCUCAACAGAGCUAAUCAGUAUAAAUUUGAGGCGGCUUCUCUGCUGGAAUAAUAGAUGUAUGGGUCGUAAAUGGACGAUAAUUUAUCUUAGGGAGAUCUGGUACAAACAUAAACCAGACUUUUUAUAUUUAUCAGAAACGGAAAAAGAUACAACUUUUGUUGCUUUUUAUGCUUCUUGUAUCUCUCUUUGGAUAUGGUUGAUAUGGACUGUGAAAGACUUGGUAAUGUAUUGGUAUAUAUUUAGGUGGAGGGAGAGAUAUUGGUCUUUGGAUGACUUUGCAAGCAUAUCAAGUCUCCAUAUUAAUGCAGCCAAAUCGUCCUAAUAUGCACCAGGAAGUGGAAUAGCUAACGUAUGUGAGGAAGCUGAGAGAGCUGGAAUUGAAGUGGGACAGCUUCCGAUCAGAUACAUGGGUCUGCCAUUGACUUCAAAGGCUCUUUCUAAGGAGGAUUAUGAGCCUUUGAUAGAUAAAAUCAGAACUCGAAUUCUGUCGUGGACCAACAAGAGCUUAUCUUAUGCAGGGCGCUUGCAGCUUCUCAACUCAGUCAUCUCCAGCAUAGUGAGCUUCUGGAGCUCUGCUUUUAUAUAUUACCUAUGGCCUGUUUGGAUACAAUAGAGAGCCUCUGCAGUGCAUUUAUAUGGGCAGGAGAUCCUCAUCAGACCCAUAAGGCGAAAGUUAAAUGGGAAGACUUGUGUUAUCCAAAAUCAGAGGGAGGAUUGGGCAUUCGGAGACUGCAAGAUACUGUUAGAGUCUUUGCUCUUAGUCUGAUAUGGCAAUUUUUUAAUAUGUCAGACUCACUAUGGGUUUCAUGGGUUCAACAUUAUCUUUUGCAUCAUAGUUCAUUCUGGGAUGUUCGGGAAGAGACAACAGGUUCCUGGAUAUGGAGGAAACUCCUUAAGUUGUGUCCUCUGGCCUAUCAGUUCAUCAGGGUGGAAGUUGGUAAUGGUGAGAAAGCUUUCUUUUGGCAUGAUGAUUGGUUGCGAAUCAGGAAACUUAUUGAGUUAACAGGAGCAACUGGCACAAGGUAUCUAGGAAUAGUUCGUAGUGCUCGGGUGUGUGAUGCUGUGGCUCAAGGCCAAUGGAGAGUGAGGGGACAGAGAAGCCGGCAUUUCCAAGAUUUACAUGCCAAAAUACAAGCAGAACCGGUACCUAAUCAGUGCAUGGGAGAGGAUAGGUUUCUAUGGAGGCACGAAACAGAGGUUUAUAAGGACUCUUACUCAGCUUCAAGAACAUGGGAACAGCUUCGACGCAAGAAAGAAGAAGUGAAUUGGAGUAGUAGUGUGUGGUUCAAACAAGGUGUUCCUCGGUUUGCAUUUAUUGUGUUGCUUGCUAUUCAGAAUAGGCUCUCUACGGGAGACAGAAUGAGGCAGUGGAGAAUUCAGCAAGGUUGUGUCCUUUGUGGAGAGAGAGAUAAGACGCGCGAUCACUUGUUUUUCGCUUGUCCUUACUCUUAUACCGUCUGGGAUAGAGUCGUUGGCAAGCUUAUAGGACGGAGAAUCAAUCCUGACUGGUCUGAUAUGCUCAGAUAUAUUCGAAAUGGAGCAGCCAAUCUUAAGAAUCAGGUGCUCAUCAGUUUGCUCUUUCAAGUGGUGGUUUAUCAUAUCUGGCGUGAACGCAAUCUAAGGAGAAAUCAACAAGGCCAGAAGGGGACUGAGCUGAUGAUUAGUACAAUCAAUAAGACAGUAAAAAAUAGGAUCUCUUCUUUGGGUUAUGAGGCAGAUCAUAGAUUGGAAGGACUUCUUCGGAGAUGGUUCGAGGUUUUUGAUUGAGUUUGGAGCAUGGAGCUUGGACAAUGGAGCUAUUAACACAAAUUUUCUUUUCUUCCUACAUAUAGAUAUAAGAACCAUUAUUCCUUUUUAGGUUUCAUUCUUUGUAAAUCCUUUUAGUUGAUGAUCAAUAAAUCAAAAUUUCAUCAAAAAAAAAAAUAAUUCAUUAAGGAUAAGAAAGAGUUUAACCGCUUUAACUUAUGAUGUGGGAUCUCGAAUGCGAGAAAUCACUUCACAAAUAUAAAAAAAAAAUCAUCGUUAAUAUUCUUCAGAGUAAUCCGAUCACUAUAUUGAUAAUGCCAUAUCUACCAGUUCAGAAAAUUAUAUUUCAAAAACUAAAUCAAAAUCUUUAGGGGGGCCUAUAUAGAAAACUGCAAUCAAAUUUUUUAGGAUAUUCUUUGUUCUCUUAUUUUCUUUUGUAUGAAUUAACUAAUAAAGAAAUACAAUUCAUAAAACAAAAUCUUAGUCUAUUUUACAUAUCUUUAAUAUUUGAAUGGUUUAGGAGAUAAACUUUAAAUAAUAUGUCAAGUAUUUUCUAUAGUAAAUAAUUGAUAAGACUUAUAAUAAUAUGUCGAGUAUUUUCUAUAGGAAAUAAUUUACAUCUGGUUCUAAGGAUUGAAAGUUUUCAGUUAUUGGUAGAUUUUAGGACCUUCCAAAUCUUAUAGGGGUACGUAGUUUAUGUUCUUGAUCCUGUUUUCUCAAGAGUUUUUAAGUGCUAUUUUCUUCGGCUUAGAUUUUAACCAAAGUAAACAACCUCUGUCUUUUGAUUUUGGCUUGCACUGCAUUGAAAAUGGGUCUAAACCGGCUAGAAAUGAAAGUUGCAUUGAGCUUGUGAAUAAUAACAUUGUGGGUUUCGAAAGAUGUUAAAAUGUCUAAACCAUUUGCGCAAAUUACACUUUAGAAGAUAAAAUAACAAUUAACAAAAUAUAUCACUAUUCUUAUUAAAUAUAGACUUUGAAAAUGAGAUUUUGGUUGAUAUCCAAAGAACUUUCAAGAGGAAGUAUCAUAAAAUAUUAAAAAUAGAAAUCAAACGCAAACACUUUUUCAUAAAUUAAUGACCAUACAUUUUUUUUUUGUUCUGAAAUGGAAUGUUCUAAAUAUUAACAUUAAAAUUUACUUAAAAAUUUAAUAAAUUUAUUUGCUUGGAUAAUCAAUUUGUUUCUUUUGAGAUAAUGUGAUCUUCGAUAUAUUGAAUAAUUAAUUAUUCGCUUACAUUAUUUACAAAUUGAUUACUUAUGUCACAUGUUUACAAUCAUAUCAUGUCACAUGUUUACAAUCGUAUCAUAUCAUAGGUUUAAAAUCGUAUCACAAAACAAAUUUAACAAGCUUUAAAAAAAUGACAUAUUUUUAACAAAACAUGAUAAGUCAUAUUGUUUUAAUAAUUUUCAUUUUCUAGUAAAAUAAUUCUUACAAAAUCUCACUAUAGACACAUGAACUCCUUAGUUAAUUGUUUUUAAUUAGUUAAAUUAAUAAAGGAAAUCACAGUCCUCAAAAGAUUAACUAAAGUAAAAUUAAUUAAAUUAAUUAACUAAUAUUUUAAGAAUAUUAGUUUUGCUUAUUAGUUUUAGUUAAUUAAAUAACUGAAAACAUCUUACAAAAUAACUACUUAAAAUACUUAAAGCUUGCUAACUAAAAAUAAGUAUAUUAUUUAAUAUUACUAAAUUUUGUUUUAAUUAGUUAAGGAAAUAAUUGAAAUCAUAUUCCUAACAGUAAAAAAAACUAAUUAACACUUUAUUAUUUAAUUAAUUAAUAUUUCUAAUAUUUGUUUUACUAUUUAUCUUAAAUUAAUUAUGAAAAUCAUAUGUGUCUUGAAAUUUUGUAGGGAUUUGGUUUUUAAAAAUAACAUUCUUAAAAAAUUAUGACAUACCAUCUUUUUAAAAAAUAUGCCAAUUUUUAUAAAUCAUAUCAAGUUAUUUUGUGAUAAUGUUGUAAAGAUGACAUAUGAGCAAUCACUUUAAAAAUAAUAUUUAAGUAGAUAUUAAAUUUCAUUAAAGUCACCUUAUAUUAGAGGAAACAAAUUUGUUAUCUAAGAAAAACAAUGUCUUUACUAAAUAUAAACACAAAUAUACACAUAUAUAUACAUAAUUUUGUAGCCAUUGUUUUUCCUUUAUCUAGUAAAAUAAUUCUUUCCUGAUCAGUUGUAACAAAGCAAUUUCAACCUUUUUUUACUUCACAAUAUCUUUAAAAAUGUCUCAUUUUAUUCCAACAACAUAUGUCAUAUUUCUUGUUGUUUGUUUUAUGUUUUUUGAACCUUGCGCCCAUGCAAGAAAUUUUAAUUCUCCGGGCAUCGAAAAUGUCAAUCCAUUCACAUCAACAAUGAAAGUCGCAGAAGAAAACAUUAAGAAGAAUGUUCCUAAAAGAGAAAAUGGUUAUACAACGGCUAGUAUAAUCCAUGGAAAUUAUGCAAGUGGACCCGAUCCGAGUGGAAGAGGACAUGGUAGACCGCCAACUCCACCACACCAUUGAAAAACAAUCGUUUGAACUGUACAUGGUGGAUAUAAUGUGAAUUAGAUAAUAAUAAUUAAUAAUUAAUAAAAAGUUGUGAAAGUUGGAUUUUGUUCAUAUAUAAUGAAAUCAAAUAAUAAACCAACUGAAAAUAAAGAAAACAAAUAAUACAUUUAACAAUAGAAAUUAUUGUGUAUAUUUUAUAGUUAUACAGAAAAUGCAAACAUCAAAAUUUAAUUUGAACCAAACGAAAAUUAAGAUUAUCAAAAUUGAUCAGAUAGUUGUUUUUUCCCCUCUCAAACUCAAUCAAACUGAAAUUAAUAUCAACCCAUUUUUAAAUUAAAACAAGGUUUAAAAACCUUUUCACUAGUUAAUAUAAAAUACCUAAAUUUUUAUAAAAAUAAUUAUGUUAAACUAGACACGAUUGGAAAAGGCAAAUCGAUUGCGAAAACAACAUAAAUAAUAUCCGUGGACAAAAUUAGAACACCAUAUGCAAACUUGUUCAUCAUUGUAUUUUUUUCUUGAUAUAUGUUGAAUCACAAAUCUUAGAAAAAUCAUCGCUAAAAUUCUUCAGAGUAAGCCGAUCACUAUAUUGAUAACACCAUAUUUACCAGUUCAGAAAAAC
rnacentral:lncRNA from 1 species